GGAGGCCGGCUGAAGUGACCUGGGGAGUGCGGCCAGGGCUGAGAGCCACCUGUCAGGACCAGCAGGGGCUUCGGGGACCGGCAGCCUGCUGGAGGCCACCUGACCUGCUCACUUCUCAGGUUGGGGGCUGGACCCACACUGGUCGGCCCGUCCUUCUGCUGCACCGUGUGGCCAUUCUGGAAAGACCUGUCUUGUGCAGCUCACCCGACUGCUCAGAAUCCCACGAUCUAGAGGUUUCUCUGUGGCAACGGCACAGGAUGGGGACAUAACAAGCACCAGCUCACAAUGUUGUUGCCAAGAUUGAAGGAGAUGAGCCAUUCAAAACAUCUCAGAACAGCGCCUGGAGCAUACAGUAGGCACCCAAGACAGAUGAUUGGAUGAGGGCUGACAUCUGACCGAAGGUGAUCCAAUCAGAUAUUCUCUCCUUGGAGCAAUGACACUCAAGACUAGCUCAGCGUGGGAUGUGUGUUUGAACUACAGAGGUGCAAAUUCAGAACAUGAGGAUGGAGAAUAAAGAAGCGGGCUUUUCCUGGGAUUCCACGAGGAUACACAGGUUGGUUUUGCCUGACCAGCAUCCAUUCUGUUAAGGAUCCAGGUGCUCCCCUCCUCUGAGGCCAUGUGGUUUGUGUGCAGCUGGCUUCACCCUCAAUCUUUAGGGAUGAUCACACGGCCAUCACCUGGUCAAUGAGAUCAUCUCUUCCCUCUAGAUGCAGUAAUUAGUUCAAGGAUGGGCAUGUGACACCCAAGUCAGGCUAAUGAGAUUCAAUCGCAGGACUCUUGGAAAUCUUUGUCUUGGGGUGCCAAGCUGGUGGCAUCUGAGCCUGG